rnacentral:lncRNA from 1 species
GAAAGACACACAGUAAUGGCAUACCAAUCCAAAAUUAACCAAAAACAUGUGAUUAAACUCCCCGGAGAAUGUUAGAGUUUAGAGGAGCAUCUCAUGUCUUUGCUCUUGCUCAUUGAUAUUGUCACUGUCAUCCAGAGAAAAUGGGCAUCCAUUGUCUCUUUGCAUGGACAUAUGAAGACAUGAGGAGUUAUAUAUUUGAACAAAGGCUUCACUUAAAUGAUAAAGAACUUCCCCCUGAUCUCCACCGUUGAUCUUGGGCUCAUAAUGAUCCUCAAUAUGAAAAAGCGAAGACAUAUUUUCGCUUUCGGGUAGCUGUAAAUUUCUGGAAAUCGAACUUCGGUAAUUUGAUCGUGAACUGGUUAAGGAUAAGCACCCAGGUGAAGAUGAAAGCCAGGCUUCCGUAUCACGACGAUGAUGGUAGUCACAGGAACCUGCUUUUCUAACCCAAUGAUGGUAGGCUGGAAGGUAUAUGCUGUCUUGAACAGAUGAAGCUUCAUUCUGGAAAUUUUCUGACAAUUUAAAGUAGUGUUUAUUGUGCGAGAAGGACAAUGCUGUGUGGUUACAAUUCAUGUCCAUUUCUUCAUCAUCCUUGUAAAGAUGAUCUCCAAACUGGGGCUUUUGAUAUUUCAAUAAACCAGAAUCCAAAACUGAAUUGAAGUCAUGUGGUUUGUCGAGUAAUAAGGGUGAGGGCCUAAAGUGGAAGUCACCUAAUGAAUCAUUUGAUAUCGGGUCUUCACCAUGGUCUAAAAUUGAUAAUGCAGGGGCCAUAUAUGGUUUUGCAUAAUUAGAAGUGACAGGUAACUUUAUCUCAUCCUUUGUGCAAUCAAAAGCAUUUUCCAGAAGAAGAGGAAUCGGUUCUCUCUCAAGUUUCCCCAGCUCAUUGAAAUGAUCCAGUGUAAAAGUUUCAUGCUUUUGCUCAUUACACAGAAAUCCAUGAGUUACAUCAUUCUUGUCAAGGUAACUUGGAAGCUCACCAAAUUCGCUUUCAGCUUCUGUUCGGAACACAGGUCGAGACAUGUGAGGAUAGAUUGGAAAGUCGGUGUGAGGAGUAAUUAAGUCAACUGAUCGAAGGAACAUAGGAGGCAACAAAUGAUCACUGAAGGAUGAGCUUGGUUCAAGUUCAAGGAGUUUCCUCUUAGGUAUCUGUUGGAUUUCAGUACAUUGAAAAUCUACUUCGUUAAACAGAGAUCCAUGAGUUACGUCACCCUUACCGGAGGUCCUGAAACUUGGAGUUCCACUCAGUUUGCAGUUGGGUGCUGUUAUACUGUACUGAGGUUGAAAGUUCUGAGAAUGAUAGGUUGGAAACUCGGCAUGUGGAGUAAGUCUCUCUCCCAAUUCGGGAAACAUAGGAGACACCAUCUGAUCAUUGAAGUAUGAGCCAGAUUCAAGUUCAAGAAGUUUCCUCUUAGGCAUCUGAUGGAGUUCUUUACAUUGAAAAUCUAGCUCUUGAGAAUCAAGCAGACUAUAUCUGGUAGCAUUUUCUACUUCGUUAAACAGAGAUCCAGAAGUUAUGUCAUUGUCACCCUUGACAUAGGCACUGAAACUUGGAGUUCCACUUAGUUUGCACUCAGGCGCUGUUAUGCUGUACCGAGGUUGAAAUUUCUGAUAAUGAUAGGUUGGAAACUCAGCAUGUGGAGCAAUUUUCUCACCUGAUUCGAGAAACAUAGGAGACAACAUCUGAUCAUUGCAGUAUGAGCUUGAUUCAAGUUCCAGAAGUUUCCUCUCAGGUAUCAGAUAGUGCUCGUUAAAUUGAACAUCCGACUCUCGAGAGUCAAGUAAAUCGUAUCUGGUAGCACUCUCUAUUUCUCCUGAAUUAGGUUCCUCGUAUUUCUGACCAGAAGAUCACUUUUGUCAAGGAAGGAAAGUCAUUGGAAGGAUUGAUAGCAUUACAAAGGGCAUCUAAAUAAACAUACAUUUUUUACGGUGCAGUCAGCGCUCAUCGGAAACAGGCGACUAAGAAGCAUGGAAACAAUAUCAAGCCUGAAAAAUUCCUAUUUUAUUCAAAAUGGUAAAGAUAAAAAUAUUCAAUAUCAAUGAAAAAACUUGUCUAACCCUUUUGAACACGGUUUCUCUGUAUCAGGAAAUAAGGUAUCGGCAACACACUGUCGUAGUUUCUGUCUCUUUCUAGAGAAGAUGUCUCCAUCCUCAUACUGGUUUCCUGAAGUACCAUGUAGUAAAUUGUCUUACACAAACUAUAUCAAUACAUUCUCAAAUAUAAUCAUUAAAUGUGACGUCUUCAGCUGCAUAAAACACAUUUUCCCUAAAAUUAUGAAUUUAACAUGUGAAGAUUAAUUAACAAAUGAGUGGACCCUGUCAAAGAUUGGCACUAAACUACUGAAGACCGAGUAAUAUAAACUAUAUAUGUUCUAACUGUUGUACAAAUUUUUCCCCUAUAACCCCCUACUACUGAAGCAGUCAAAAAGAAGAAAAUCUAACCUUCAUGUGAAAAUCCCUGGGGUUUGAUGGUGUCACCACAACCUUGAGAAUUUGUCAGCUUGCUGCACAUAGAGUACAUGUCUGCAUACACCAAGAGGAAAAAGAUCUUUUUGAUACUGGAUUGUUGUUUAGCAGGAAACUGAAAAUUGAA